CAAAAUACUUUCAAACCCACUCUUGUUCGUAUAGCUGCUAGGUAGAAUGCUGCUCUUGGAGUAGAUUAACUUUGUGGGCAUCCAUGUAACAAACAACUGGAUUUGAUAUACUGAGUGUCCCAAAGAAAAAAAAAUAUAAUACUGGCAUACUUUACUAAUUCAUACAGCUAAUUUCUCUCAUCCAAGAUUGUGAUGAAUUGCUGGAGCUACAGGGUUAAAACCAACAAGUCUCCAGCAGCGUCAGACCAGCUGCUUUCACGUGCUCUCAGUUCACUUCGGUGCAGCAAUGUCAGAGCACUGACCUUCCACUGACGUGCAUCACAUAAAUAAGCCAAACUCCUGUCUUCCCUUCAAUGGCAACAACAUACUGCUUCUGGCAUGUACAGUCAUUCUUUUUGGCCUUCCAACUUCUAGACAGACUCCACUCAUUACUUACUUUUUCUAUUACUUAGUAUCUUUCUUGUUUUAGCAUGCUGAUCAUGUGGAAGCAGAUAUCCUACCUGUGUUCCUACUGAGGUAAAAUGAGUCAAGCUACUCCAGUACAUUUCCAUUUACUUUCUGGGUCUGUAUAGUGGAACCCCACAUUUGGAUGUGACCCACUCCAUUGAGAAGUCCCAGCAUGCACUGGACUCCCAUCAUCAUCUGUGUCCACACUCUGCGCCGGACUGUGGAAUCUACCUGCAAACAUAAAAGAAGGGUCUUCUUGACAUCAUUUGCCCAUACGAGCAUCAUCAUGAUUCUCUGAUUUAACCACAGAUCUCAUUUGCUAUUUAUGCAUUUUAGCUGCAUAAGUUUGUAUACAGAUCACAUCAUAACCUACAUUAAAGAAAGUAACAAUAAAAACCUUAGAAAUUAUUUCCAUAUGUACAUAAUGCAGCAAAAAAAAUUCAAAAGGUGGCAACUCUAUCUUUAACAUUUCAGCAAAAAAUAGUCAGUUGAUUAUACUAGAAAAAACUGAAAAUCCUUAAAUGAAACUUCACAUUUAAGACACAAUUUAAAAAGCAUGUUCUUAAAUAUUUCUGGACAUUUUAAUGCUUUAAGACCUCUGGAGACUUGCUCACUAAAUGAUGAGACUAAAAAUAAAUAUAAUAAAAA